ensembl:lncRNA
AUUCAGUUUAGGGGUAGCUUAAAGUCUACUUAAAAAACCCACUUAGGCCUUGCUUGUCCUUUCCAGGGUCCCUUUCCAAGUUCAUCUUGUACCAGCUGCUCUUUGCAACCUUCCAGCCAACUUCAGCCAGGCUCACUUUCUUUGUGUUCUCAGACUCAUAGACCUUUCUGCCCCUGGACCUCUGGCUACGGUACACCCCUCCUUGAAGGCCCAGCUCCAGCUCCUGUGUGGCUGGCUCAUGCUCCUUUAGGGGGUUUUGCCCAGAUAUCCUUCCUCAAGGAGAUUGCCUUGUCUUUAUUAGUCUCUGCCCAUCUCUCAUCUCUUAGCACCACUGACAAUUAUCUGCUUCCAACUGAAUGUCAGAUGCAUAGUACAGUGUCUGGCUUACAGUGGUUCCUCAAUACACAUUUGAGGAAAGAAUGAAAUAAUGUGCAGUUUUCUGCCAGAGCUAUCUAGGAACACAUUGUGAUCAUCUGGAGCAUACUUUCCACAAAGCCCUGGUAUUCCCUCAUCCCCACCUCAGUGCCAUGAUCAUUCCUUCCUCUAGUGAAGGACUCUUCCCCUCUUAUGAAGGGAGGAAAAUUGAGGAUAUUCUGCUUUUUGUAUCUUCCUUGGCUCUCCAGUCCUGCUGUAUAUUUCAUGUGCAAUAUUUUAGACUUGCAGUUAGGGCACCUGGCUUCAAAAGAAACCUCAAUGGUAGUCUGGCUAAAUUAACCUUCUUUAAUACCUUUAGGUCCGGGUCAGUAGGGAUCAUACAAUCAGCUCAGGCUCCUUUACAUUGUUAUCAAGUGUCAAAGAGACUAGGAUGUAUGGAAAUGCCAUUUAUUUUGGGCAAUUCACUUAGUAUCUAAGAUAAUGGACCCAUAAUCUUCAUUUGUAACAUAAACACACAACUCUCCUAUUGAUGUUGAGAGCUUGGGCAUGGAAGUCCAUGGUGGAGCAUGCAAACAGGAAAAUACCCACCUGUCAUCUGAAAGGAGCACCUGAGCCACAGGGAAUAAAAGAGGUCUUGUGGUGAUUUGCAUACUGAUUUGCAUAUUGCUCAAAAGUCAUUUGAGGCAGGUCGGCACACAUCAUAGUAUAUAAUGCUCUUGGCUCUUCCUGCCACCAUCCUUGCCCUCUGCACCUGCUGGAGCCCAGCCAGGGAAGGUGCUGGGUCAGGCUGGCCCUGGGACCCCUUACCAUCUCCUCACCAUCUCCUCCUCCUAGAGUCUCGCCCUGCAGAGAGCCUGGACUGCCAUGUUGCCUGAUGGAUGGCAGGCCUUCAGCGUGACUGAGCUUUCACACUUGAAACCAUUAAAGGCCCACAGCUUUGGAACCAGCUGAACCCCUGAAACCACGAUCCAAAAUAAAUCUUCCUUUCUUUAAAUUGUUUUCCUCAGGUGCUGUGUCACAGUGACAGAAAGUUGACUAAUACAAUCAUUUUGCCUGUAUGAAUAACUAUAAUUCCUUUAAAAAUCAAUAACUUUAUCUCAAGGUGGGUUAUAAAGCAUAACCAGUAUUCUGGCAGUUAAAAGUGAUAUCACUUAAUAAAUGUUGGGGAUGUUGCAUGUCUUGAAAAGUCACUGGACACAAUGGCGUAGCAGUGGCUCCAACAUAUCUUGAACUAGAAAGCUAGCCAGCAAAACUCUGUGUUGCUCAGGGAAUCCCCAAACCACUUAGCUACAAACUACUUUCUUCACUGAACAUCCAUCACCUUACUUUUGUGGACACAGUUUACCAAUUACUAUGCAAUAGGCAGAAUUCUACAAAUGCCCC